ensembl:lncRNA
GGGACAGGGUUAUAGUGACAGGGUUAGGGUUAGGGUUAUAGUGACAGGGUUAUAGUGACAGGGUUAGGGAUAUAGUGACAGGGUUAGGGAUAUAGUGACAGGGUUAUAGUGACAGGGUUAGGGAUAUAGUGACAGGGAUAUAGUGACAGGGUUAGGGAUAUAGUGACAGGGUUAUAGUGACAGGGUUAGGGUUAUAGUGACAGGGUUAGAGAUAUAGUGACAGGGUUAUAGUGACAGGGUUAAGGUUAUAGUGACAGGGUUAGGGUUAUAGUGACAGGGUUAGGUUAUAGUGACAGGGUUAUGGUUAUAGUGACAGGGUUAGGGGUUAUAGUGACAGGGU